AGCGUACACGGUGGAUGCCCUGGCAGUCAGAGGCGAUGAAGGACGUGCUAAUCUGCGAUAAGCGUCGGUGAGGUGAUAUGAACCGUUAUAACCGGCGAUUUCCGAAUGGGGAAACCCAGUGUGUUUCGACACACUAUCAUUAACUGAAUCCAUAGGUUAAUGAGGCGAACCGGGGGAACUGAAACAUCUAAGUACCCCGAGGAAAAGAAAUCAACCGAGAUUCCCCCAGUAGCGGCGAGCGAACGGGGAGGAGCCCAGAGCCUGAAUCAGUGUGUGUGUUAGUGGAAGCGUCUGGAAAGGCGCGCGAUACAGGGUGACAGCCCCGUACACAAAAAUGCACAUAUUGUGAGCUCGAUGAGUAGGGCGGGACACGUGGUAUCCUGUCUGAAUAUGGGGGGACCAUCCUCCAAGGCUAAAUACUCCUGACUGACCGAUAGUGAACCAGUACCGUGAGGGAAAGGCGAAAAGAACCCCGGCGAGGGGAGUGAAAAAGAACCUGAAACCGUGUACGUACAAGCAGUGGGAGCACCUUCGUGGUGUGACUGCGUACCUUUUGUAUAAUGGGUCAGCGACUUAUAUUCUGUAGCAAGGUUAACCGUAUAGGGGAGCCGAAGGGAAACCGAGUCUUAACUGGGCGUUAAGUUGCAGGGUAUAGACCCGAAACCCGGUGAUCUAGCCAUGGGCAGGUUGAAGGUUGGGUAACACUAACUGGAGGACCGAACCGACUAAUGUUGAAAAAUUAGCGGAUGACUUGUGGCUGGGGGUGAAAGGCCAAUCAAACCGGGAGAUAGCUGGUUCUCCCCGAAAGCUAUUUAGGUAGCGCCUCGUGAACUCAUCUUCGGGGGUAGAGCACUGUUUCGGCUAGGGGGCCAUCCCGGCUUACCAACCCGAUGCAAACUACGAAUACCGAAGAAUGUUAUCACGGGAGACACACGGCGGGUGCUAACGUCCGUCGUGAAGAGGGAAACAACCCAGACCGCCAGCUAAGGUCCCAAAGUCAUGGUUAAGUGGGAAACGAUGUGGGAAGGCACAGACAGCCAGGAUGUUGGCUUAGAAGCAGCCAUCAUUUAAAGAAAGCGUAAUAGCUCACUGGUCGAGUCGGCCUGCGCGGAAGAUGUAACGGGGCUAAACCAUGCACCGAAGCUGCGGCAGCGACACUAUGUGUUGUUGGGUAGGGGAGCGUUCUGUAAGCCUGUGAAGGUGGCCUGUGAGGGUUGCUGGAGGUAUCAGAAGUGCGAAUGCUGACAUAAGUAACGAUAAAGCGGGUGAAAAGCCCGCUCGCCGGAAGACCAAGGGUUCCUGUCCAACGUUAAUCGGGGCAGGGUGAGUCGACCCCUAAGGCGAGGCCGAAAGGCGUAGUCGAUGGGAAACAGGUUAAUAUUCCUGUACUUGGUGUUACUGCGAAGGGGGGACGGAGAAGGCUAUGUUAGCCGGGCGACGGUUGUCCCGGUUUAAGCAUGUAGGCUGAUUGUCCAGGCAAAUCCGGAUAAUCAAGGCUGAGGUGUGAUGACGAGGCACUACGGUGCUGAAGUAACAAAUGCCCUGCUUCCAGGAAAAGCCUCUAAGCAUCAGGUAACAUCAAAUCGUACCCCAAACCGACACAGGUGGUCAGGUAGAGAAUACCAAGGCGCUUGAGAGAACUCGGGUGAAGGAACUAGGCAAAAUGGUGCCGUAACUUCGGGAGAAGGCACGCUGAUAUGUAGGUGAAGCGACUUGCUCGUGGAGCUGAAAUCAGUCGAAGAUACCAGCUGGCUGCAACUGUUUAUUAAAAACACAGCACUGUGCAAACACGAAAGUGGACGUAUACGGUGUGACGCCUGCCCGGUGCCGGAAGGUUAAUUGAUGGGGUUAGCGGUAACGCGAAGCUCUUGAUCGAAGCCCCGGUAAACGGCGGCCGUAACUAUAACGGUCCUAAGGUAGCGAAAUUCCUUGUCGGGUAAGUUCCGACCUGCACGAAUGGCGUAAUGAUGG
rnacentral:rRNA from 1 species